CCUCAGAUCACGCCACCUCAGGAAACAGCCGAAAAUAGACGCGAACCCAGCGUGUUAGUGGGUCAGAAGACUGUGAUGACGUGGGCACAAGCAUGCCACGUGACUGCUAUGACGUAGCACGCAAGCACACCACAUGGCUGAGAUGAUGAUGCACGCAGGCAUGCCGUGUAGCUGAGGUGACAAAGCAUGCCUGCCCCCAAUGAUUCAUCUUAUUGCUUGUCAACAUUGGAACAGCACCUCGCACAUAAGCCACGCCACCUUUCGUAGUUAGUGCAUCUCUCCUCCUUCGCACCGAUGGAUAGGCCAGCGCGCUUCACUGGCCGCUUCAGAGGCGUGAGGACGUCUGCAGUCUCUCAUCUUCCUUUAGUCGAGCUCUUCCCAACGUUGCUGA
ensembl:lincRNA 1700047F07Rik RIKEN cDNA 1700047F07 gene